rnacentral:rRNA from 1 species
UACGUAGGGCGCAAGCGUUGUCCGGAAUCAUUGGGCGUAAAGAGCGUGUAGGCGGCUAUUUAAGUCCUGCGUGAAAUCCUGCGGCUCAACCGCAGACGGUCGUGGGAAACUGGAUGGCUAGAGUGCGGGAGAGGAGAGUGGAAUUCCCGGUGUAGCGGUGAAAUGCGCAGAUAUCAGGAAGAACACCCGUGGCGAAGGCGGCUCUCUGGAACGCAACUGACGCUGAGACGCGAAAGCGUGGGGAGCAAACAGG